rnacentral:lncRNA from 1 species
AUGGAGACCUUUCUCAGUGAUCAUGUGCAGCCACUCAAAAUCAAAGCUCCUCUGCCCCUGAAGGCCCAAAUUCUGCUUUACCUGAUCCUUAAAGAUGGAAACCUUUCUCUGAGGGGGGAGCUGAGCAAGGAAGUGGAGAAUGGGACCUCUGUCCUCAUGAAGACUCUGCUCUGUGGCCUUUGGCUGUUCAUUCCCAUUGCCCCUGUUCUCCUUGGAGUGCUGUAUGACACAAUUCCAUGUGGGUCCCCACCAGCUUUUCCAGGGAAACAUCAGAGGCAUUUUCUUCUUAGGGAGAACCACAAGAUGGAGCAAAAUGAUUCCAGGAGCUCCUGUGUUUAACAUCUCCCUCUUUCUGUCUAAAAACAUCAACAAGAAAAGCUACUGGAGACCCACUGUGAAGCUGGAAAAACCUGCCAUGGAAUGCCAGGACGUGUGGAAAACAGCAGGGCUGAGUUUCAAUCUGCUGCUGGGUUUGGACCUUCAGAGAGGGCUGUGCCAAGGUUAAGGGCACUCAGAGCAAACUGAAGGUCUCUCCUGGCAAUGCAUCUUUGAAUGCUGCACUAAAGGAGCUGUUAUAAGACAGAAAUCUGUUCUUUCACCUAUGCCCUGAACAGAAAUGAGGUCAAGUGUCUCUGGCUGUGCUCUGUGUGUUACUGAGGUGCUCCAGAGGCCAUUGAUGAGGAAACACUGCUGGAUAAGCAGCUGGGAGUGUCCCCUCCUGCCCCAUGGCUCACUCAGAGCCCUGGGCUUGGUGCUGAGCCCCCAGGAAUUGGUUGCCUGUUUGUGGCUGAGCUGUGCUUCAGCUGCUGCUGCCUCCCUGCAGAACAUCAGAACCCAGAAACUGAUGGUCAGUCCACUAGACAGAGAAAAUCUGGUUGUUAUUUUAUCAGCAUGUGGUGUACUGGCCUUCACCAGCUUGAGGUGAUGCUGAAGAUUGUUUUAUGAAUUUUAAAUUGUAGCAGUUUCCUAGAGAAAGUGAGGAUUGGUGGAUCCAAACUUUCCUGUGCAGCCGUGGCUGUUUUAUUGAUGCUGCUUUUUUUUAACUCACAUUUUCUAGACCAUGCAGGAGGUUGGAUUGAAUUCUCAUGUGUGUUUCUCCUGUUUUUGUGUUGUUCUGGGUUUUGCAUCAAACCUGGAGAGGUGACAGGAAUACAAACUUCAGGCUGUUAUGGUUUGCAGCAGAUACCACAGAGGUGCAAGAAAAGAGUGUUUCCCAGGCUUUGUGAAAUGAUUUUGUCUUCCUUCUCAGGUUUAAUGUAUUGCCUCUGUGAAGACAGGUGACUCAAUGAUCCCAGAGGUCUUUUCCAACCUAAACAAUUCUGUGAUUCCAAGGCUAGUU